GUGACCACCCCGCGACCUUCUUCUUACACCGACCGCAUUCCAGGUACUCAGUGGCCAUGAGAUACCAGCGGUCGAUGUCCAAGACCCUCCGGAUGGUCUUGUAGAGCCCAGCCUUGCAGAGUGUGCCUCUGCACCCAGACUGGGGGCGUGCCAGCUUGCAUGCCCAUAUACGUACGGGCAUCCAAAGGAACAGCUGACAUGCGAAGAAGGGGUCGGGGGAUGCGGGUGGCUGAUUGUAGAUCGGCCGCGGUUGGGGAGGCGUCCACCACGUGACCAGGUCGGUGGCGAGUGUCGACCUCCCAAAGCUGUUCCUGGUGAACAGCGUGCGGCCGAUCCACCGCUGCUGCUCCUUGGUGAGAGAUGAACGCCAACUCUCUGGGAGCAGCAGCUGAGUGAGAGGAGAGAGUGAUGGGGCGGGGAGAAGGGAUGGUAAUCAAAUUGGUGUCCAAUUUGGCAUAGUGUUUAAUAUCUUAACAAUGUGGAGUAAUUACAGUUGAUGAAUUUACCUCAGCACUUUCUGAGGAGGGCCUUGGAGGCAGGAAGGACUGCCGGGGCAAAUCCUCCUCUUCGCUCUGGGCAUGGACCGGGGCAUGGACCAGGGCAUGGACCAGGGCAGGAACCGGGGCAUGGACCGGGGCAUGGACCAGGGCAGGAACCGGGACCUGUGAAGUUAGAGGCAGAGGCCGAGGGAGCGAUCGGGGGACCUGUGGGGCUACGGCUUUUGCAGUGACACAGAAAUAAAUAGGUUAAAUGAAUGAAUUAAUAAAUAAAAUAAAUGCAAGCAUGAAUGGACAGACAUAUUACAAAUGAAGAUAACAGUGAUUCAGUUAAUAGUUCAUACAUGCAGUGACUCUUCUCUAAACCCAGAUGACUCUUACCAAUACAUUUCCUUGGGCUGACGAUAGCGACAAAUUUAACACACUUUAAUAUGUCAAGAAAAUUUAACUGAAUACUUAUCAAAACGUAUCGAAUUUCCUGUCAAUUAAUAGUGACGUAAAAACAUACAUGUGUCUAUGUCAGCAGCAGCUUUGACCAGCUCUGCGUCCGAUUGAUCUGUUGGUGGCAGUGCUGGUCGAGGGAAAGACACCCCUAUUUCUUCAUCUUCGCCUGCAGUUCACCUGGGCGAGAGAGCGCCUUGAAAGGAAUGCAGAGAUCGCAGGACCAAGAA
rnacentral:lncRNA from 1 species